rnacentral:rRNA from 1 species
UGGCCUACGGGAGGCAGCAGUGAGGAAUAUUGGUCAAUGGUCGGGAGACUGAACCAGCCAAGCCGCGUGAGGGAUGAAGGUACAGAGUAUCGUAAACCUCUUUUGUCAGGGAACAAAGGCGGGGACGCGUCCCCGGAUGAGUGUACCUGCAGAAAAAGCAUCGGCUAACUCCGUGCCAGCAGCCGCGGUAAUACGGAGGAUGCGAGCGUUAUCCGGAUUUAUUGGGUUUACAAGGUGCGCAGGCGGUCGGUUUCG